GCCCGGGUGGUCUAGUGGUAUGAUUCUCGCUUAGGGAUGGCAUCUCGCCUUACAAACCCAAGCAUAUCUGCGAGAGGUCCCGCGUUCGAUCCGCGGCUCGGGCC